UAAACAUCUUCAGUUGAGUUCAGCUACUUCUACACAAAAGGAUCAGACCACUUACCAAAGCGAAGUAAAAAUUAUUUUUUGUUUUAUUUGCACUGGAGCAUUUCAUAAUUCAUAAUUGAAUUGUUAGUAAGAUCAAUUGAUUGACCACUUUUGGAAUACUAACUGAUAAUCAUGUGAUAUUUUAUUAGAGCCUGCAUUGUGCUAUGUUUCAUGUAGAUAAUUUUUUAAAAUAACAGCUUUAAUGAGAUAUAAUUCACAUACCGUACAACUCAUUCAUACAAUUUAGUUCUUUCUAGUAUAUUCUUGGUGUUGUACACACAUCAUCACCAUCAAUUUUAGAAUAUUUUCAUCACUCCAGAAAGAAACCCUGGACCUAUUAGAAGCCAUACCCUAAUUCACUGACUCUAGGCAACCACUAAUCUAGUCUCUACAUUUAGAUCAUAUUUUUAAGAGAAUUAUUUUCCAAAUUAUAAUUUAGAGUACAUUCGGAAGUUUUCUACUUAUUAGUGUGUGACUAUUCUAAAGAUAAUGCUUUUCUCACAUAGUAUAGAUCAAUUUUUCAGGUUAACCCCUUUUAUAUUUUUCAGGAUUUUAAUACUAGAAGAGAUUAAUUCCUAAUUAGCAUCUUAUUGUCAUUUUAAGGAUGAGACAAAAGCUUCUCUUUGUUCAAUUUUAGGAACUACUUUUGGACUUGAAUUCAUCCCUGAGGCAUAGAAGACUAGGAACUUAGUAUACCAAACCUAAAGAAUAAGCAAAAAUAUUAUAAAUAUAUUCUCUGCAAUGAUUGCAAUGGAAGAUCUACAGUCCAGUUCCAUAUAUUAGGCUUGAAAUGUAAUAUUUGUGAAUCCUACAAUACUGCUCAAACUGGAGGUUGUAGAAUUUCACUAGAUCAGCAAUGACCAGCCUAAACUGCACUGGAAAACAGCAUUUUCUGAUAGAAAAGACUAUCUUUAGUAUCCUGUUGUCAUAAUGUGUGAGAAUCUAUGCAUUAGAGUUGAUGUGUUUUGUAUUAAUGUCACAACAUAAAAUCAGUACAAGUACUUAAGGAUUCAAGGUCUCUUUAUAGAAUUUUCAUAGCUCUAUAUUUAAUGAAAGCCAUUUUGCUUGUGUUUUGAUUGGAAAUUCUUUUAGUGUUUAUUUGGAAGCCAAUUAUUUGGAAGCCAAUGAUGUUUGCCACUGAAAUUCACAUCCAUAGAAGUAUGUUAUACUUUCAUGGAACUUUGCUUUAAAUGGCACCAUGCACGCAGAGUUCAUUUCUAGUUCCUAAUAGAGCUGUACUUAAUUCUCAGUAUUCUUGACUUUUUAAAGGCUGUACUAUAAUAAGGAUAUGUCCUAUCUUACUGUUAAAAUCCAAUUACAUAUGCUUUAGAAUUUUCUAAGACAGUCCUUUGGAUCCUGUAAAUGCGAAUUUUGACAUAACAACUGCUAAUAAAAUUAUAUUGAAACAGUG